CUGCUUAAAGCUCACACAUAUACGACAAUUGGAAUGAGACAGAGAAGAUUAGCAUAGCCCCUGUGCAAGAAUGACACACAAAUUCAUGAACAAAAGACAUAGAUC
ensembl:snRNA U6 U6 spliceosomal RNA